AGCUCAGUCGGUAGAGCAUCAGACUUU
rnacentral:piRNA from 7 species